rnacentral:sRNA from 1 species
CUCUACAAAGCCAAUCAUCACAGUUCCAUUCUUCAACCCCGCAUCCGAAAUGCUAACAUCCAACAUCCCAAUCAAAUUCUGGCCCAUCGAGACAAGCUCAAACUCCACACCGGCCUUAUCCUCUGACAACGGCGACGCUUUUAGCCACUCGUAGAUGCGCCGGACGGGGUCGGAUAGGUUGAAGCGCCUGAUCACGCGGCCGGUUGGGUGGCGGAAUUGAAUUCGGGUUACAGUUGCCGGGUCCGGGUUGGGUUCUGUGUGGGGUUUAUUGGGGGAGAUGGAGGCGAAGGUCGGGUUCUGGUGGUGUGCGUCUUCCGCUUGUUCUUGUUGCUGUUGGCCGUUUGUCUCUGCGUCGACAUUCAUGUCGUCAUCUAGGCUGGAUGCCUUCCCCUUCCCCUUUCCCUUGAUGUCGCCAAUGCUCCUCGUGAGGUCAUCGGGAUCCUCGUGUCUGCCCUUCACGUUAUUAUUCUGGGUCUGGCUCUCAAGACUAUUCUUCAGGGCCAUCUCCAGCAUUUCCUCCUCAGUCAUUGUUUCGAGCUUGCGCUCCGGUUUUACCUCCGGCUUCCGCCUGGCAACGGGAUUCCGCACAGUGUGGUCUAAGCUGUAGCGAUCGAGGAACUCGUGGACUUGCAUCAGGAAAUCCGAUGGUUUAAUAACGGGGGGUCCAGUCCAUGCUUUCACUUGCUCGCCCGUCCGUGGGUCCACGAUUGCAAUAUGUGGGUAGUUGUCUUGAACGUCGGCGCCGGGAAAGUAAUAUUGGAUAUAUUGCGAACCGCGCGGGUCGUCCUUGGAGUAUUGUAGAAAGAUGAAAUGUUCUUUUACCGUGUCCAUGACUCCUUGGUUUUUCCAAAGAUCUCUAUUUAGGACUUGGCAAUCGAAAACAGAGGCGUCCUGAAUGUUGACCAGCAGCCACCUCAUAUUUUCCCGGCCUUCAUCCCGCGCCAGGUUCCAGGGGAGUUUCGACAUGAUCUCAAAGGGAGGUCGGUACAUUUCAGCAAGCAUACUGGACUUGCUAGAGGCGUUUGAGGCGCCACCGGUAGCCUCUGCCAAGGAUGCGCGAUGUGAUGACGGAUCGUCCUGGUUCCAGAUCGAUGAUGAAAUGGGCCUUUGGUUGAAGAUACCUGGUCGGCCUAGGUUAAGCUAGAUAUCAGCCGACGAACAACAUAUAACUUUACGCACAAAGGGAAAAAUUGGGUAAGUGGUGGCAUACCUGCUCUAGCUCGCUGCCUAGCCCGCAACUGACUCAUCACGGCGUCGUCUAAUCCAUCGUUGAUAUCAAACCCCAAAUCCGCACCCGGCUCGACAAGUGUUUCUGUCGUGCGGGCUAAGGGAGCGCGUACACCGCUUUCAUCCGCAGGACCGAAACCCUCAGCUCCAGCAUAAAAUUCCUCUUGCAAACGGCGGGCCAUGGCUUCGUCGUCGUCGAAUGUGGAAAGCCCGGAAGGUUGCGGUGUGCGACUGGCAGAGGAAGCUGAUUGGUGGGAUGUCCGUACGGGGAUAUUCGUGCCUCCUUCAUGUGUAUAGUUGUAAUCAUCGUCGGAGUCCAGAUGGACGACGCCGUGUUCGUCUUCGUAGCCUGGUGGGCGUGAGGGCCGUGAUGACGGAGGAGGAGGAGGAGCAAGGGGAGGAGAACGAGAAACAGGGAAUUGAGGCUGCGGAGGAGUGGAUUCCGGUUGGAUAUCAGCACCUCCAUUCUCGAAGUACAGUUGCAUGGCCGUUUCGAGGUUGCCGUCGGUCAGCUGCAGAUACCGGGCAGCAACCUCUGGGGAGGAACCCGUGAUCUCGGUGAACCCUGCCACCGCAGCGUCCGCCAUGGCUGAGGGGGAUGUCGGAGUUAUCUGGAUCUAUGCGAUCUGGGCGUAUUUUAAGAGGAGUUGUUGGGCGGAUAUGAGGGGAAUAGGGGAGGAUAGGAUGUACGAGGUGGGUUGAGGAAGGAGAAGUAACGAGUUAAGAGCAGGCUGCCUGUUUAUUGGGAGGGGCAUCCAAGGCCCAGGGAAGCAGCACGGAGGAACACAGCAAGAGUAGAUGCAGUAGAAUUCAGCAGACAAGGUUCAUAAAAGAUAGGAAAUCGGGAGAAUCAAGGCAUUGCUGUCUAGUGCGAAGUUUCUAGGGUCUACGGCAGUUGGCAGGAAUAAAAAAAAGGGGGACUGGGAGCUGGUGUGAAGAAAUGAAGUUUCACGCAUCCGCAAAGAUUUGUCUGGUUCAAAGGCAGAUAGAUGAAGCAGUGACGCUGUUGUGGAUGAAUCAGCAGAGGGGACCGGCAUCCGGAUCAUCAUUAUUCCUCCCGCUCGGGUAAACUUGCAGCAGUUGAAUAAUGCAUACGGGAGGCUAGAGAGACCAGAUACGUUAUUAUUUAUGCACA